rnacentral:rRNA from 1 species
GCACGGGUGCGUAACGCGUAUGCAAUCUACCUUUUACAGAGGGAUAGCCCAGAGAAAUUUGGAUUAAUACCUCAUAGUAUUAUUGAAUGGCAUCAUUUAAUAAUUAAAGUCACAACGGUAAAAGAUGAGCAUGCGUCCCAUUAGCUUGUUGGUAAGGUAACGGCUUACCAAGGCAACGAUGGGUAGGGGUCCUGAGAGGGAGAUCCCCCACACUGGUACUGAGACACGGACCAGACUCCUACGGGAGGCAGCAGUGAGGAAUAUUGGUCAAUGGGCGCAAGCCUGAACCAGCCAUGCCGCGUGCAGGAUGAAGCAUCUAUGGUGUGUAAACUGCUUUUGUACAGGAAGAAACAUCUCUACGUGUAGAGACUUGACGGUACUGUAAGAAUAAGGACCGGCUAACUCCGUGCCAGCAGCCGCGGUAAUACGGAGGGUCCAAGCGUUAUCCGGAAUCAUUGGGUUUAAAGGGUCCGUAGGCGGUUUUGUAAGUCAGUGGUGAAAGCCCAUCGCUCAACGGUGGAACGGCCAUUGAUACUGCAAGACUUGAAUUAUUGGGAAGUAACUAGAAUAUGUAGUGUAGCGGUGAAAUGCUUAGAGAUUACAUGGAAUACCAAUUGCGAAGGCAGGUUACUACCAAUAUAUUGACGCUGAUGGACGAAAGCGUGGGGAGCGAACAGGAUUAGAUACCCUGGUAGUCCACGCCGUAAACGAUGGAUACUAGCUGUUCGGAGCAAUCUG